rnacentral:misc_RNA from 1 species
CCAGGGGUGUGCAGAGUGCGCCGGCUUACGCCCAUCUGUACUUACUCGGUUGCUCGGCGGGCCGCGCUUCUGGGAGAGUCCUUCCGGCGAGCCUCUUUGGGGGCUUUAGCUGGAUCGCGCCCGCCGGAGGACAGACAUCAAAAAAUCUUGGAAAGCUGUUAGUCCCGAUCGUUAGCAAGUAAAAUAGUUAAAAUUUCCAACACCGGAAUAUUGUAUUUGUUCCCCUGAUGAUCGCAGAGUUUUGGGUUUUGUUAUGCUAAUUGCCCAGGGCGGAGAAACAUGAAACGGAGGAACCAAUUCCGCGCUUGAUGGUGUUUUACCUGAGACGUAUGAUGUUGGAGCCCAUUUUCACUAUGUUUUAUCAUUAUGAGCUGUAUUAGCCWUUAUAGCAGGAUUAGUUCAAUGAUUUGCUCUUUUUACAGGAUUGGCCCUUAAUAAUAAACUUUUAAAUGUUCAAUUGAUUACUAUAUUUAUUGGAGUAAAUGUAACCCUUUUUCCCCAUCAUUUUCUUGGAUUAGAAGAAUACCUCGACGUUAUUCAGAUUACCCUGAUGUAUAUAGACAAUGAAAUAUUGUUUCAUCUUUCGGAUCCCUUGAUCCUUUAA